CCUACAAACCGUGAGACCAUGACCUGAGCCGAAGUCGGACGCUUAACUGACCGAGCCACCCAGGCACCCUGUACUGUUUCAAUUUUAGUUCUGGAAAAAAAGUUUUGAGUUUUUCCCUAUUUCCUGAAGCAUAUAUUGCAUAAGGAUUUGAAAGAAGUCACCCAUAAAACUAGCUGCUCUGGAUCACUUUGGAGUAACUUAUAUUGCUUUUCACAGAAUUGUCCCUUCAAGGAGAUCUCAGUGAAUGGGGCUUCCAAAGAAUGGUUUGGAUGACCGUGUUCAGUUCUCCUAAGGUGGCACAUAAUGUCUACUAUUCCAGAUGCCAAGAAGAGAAGUGAAUUUAUUAUCAGCAUUGGAUGCCUUACAGCUUAAUUCUUUCCUGGAAACUGGUUGAAAAGAGCUGGAAUAGAGUUAAACACGACACAUUAAAAUAACUGUAAAAGCCUCCUCA